AGAGUUUGAUCCUGGCUCAGAUUGAACGCUGGCGGCAUGCUUUACACAUGCAAGUCGAACGGCAGCGCGGGGCAACCUGGCGGCGAGUGGCGAACGGGUGAGUAAUAUAUCGGAACGUACCCAAGAGUGGGGGAUAACGUAGCGAAAGUUACGCUAAUACCGCAUACGAUCUAAGGAUGAAAGUGGGGGAUCGCAAGACCUCAUGCUCCUGGAGCGGCCGAUAUCUGAUUAGCUAGUUGGUGAGGUAAAGGCUCACCAAGGCCACGAUCAGUAGCUGGUCUGAGAGGACGACCAGCCACACUGGAACUGAGACACGGUCCAGACUCCUACGGGAGGCAGCAGUGGGGAAUUUUGGACAAUGGGCGCAAGCCUGAUCCAGCAAUGCCGCGUGAGUGAAGAAGGCCUUCGGGUUGUAAAGCUCUUUUGUCAGGGAAGAAACGGUGGGAGCUAAUAUCUCCUACUAAUGACGGUACCUGAAGAAUAAGCACCGGCUAACUACGUGCCAGCAGCCGCGGUAAUACGUAGGGUGCAAGCGUUAAUCGGAAUUACUGGGCGUAAAGCGUGCGCAGGCGGUUGUGCAAGACAGAUGUGAAAUCCCCGGGCUCAACCUGGGAACUGCAUUUGUGACUGCACGGCUAGAGUGUGUCAGAGGGGGGUAGAAUUCCACGUGUAGCAGUGAAAUGCGUAGAGAUGUGGAGGAAUACCGAUGGCGAAGGCAGCCCCCUGGGAUAACACUGACGCUCAUGCACGAAAGCGUGGGGAGCAAACAGGAUUAGAUACCCUGGUAGUCCACGCCCUAAACGAUGUCAACUAGUUGUCGGGUCUUAAUUGACUUGGUAACGCAGCUAACGCGUGAAGUUGACCGCCUGGGGAGUACGGUCGCAAGAUUAAAACUCAAAGGAAUUGACGGGGACCCGCACAAGCGGUGGAUGAUGUGGAUUAAUUCGAUGCAACGCGAAAAACCUUACCUACCCUUGACAUGGUCGGAACCUUGGAGAGAUCUGAGGGUGCUCGAAAGAGAACCGGCGCACAGGUGCUGCAUGGCUGUCGUCAGCUCGUGUCGUGAGAUGUUGGGUUAAGUCCCGCAACGAGCGCAACCCUUGUCAUUAGUUGCUACGAAAGGGCACUCUAAUGAGACUGCCGGUGACAAACCGGAGGAAGGUGGGGAUGACGUCAAGUCCUCAUGGCCCUUAUGGGUAGGGCUUCACACGUCAUACAAUGGUACAUACAGAGGGCUGCCAACCCGCGAGGGGGAGCUAAUCCCAGAAAGUGUAUCGUAGUCCGGAUUGGAGUCUGCAACUCGACUCCAUGAAGUUGGAAUCGCUAGUAAUCGCGGAUCAGCAUGUCGCGGUGAAUACGUUCCCGGGUCUUGUACACACCGCCCGUCACACCAUGGGAGCGGGUUUUACCAGAAGUAGGUAGCCUAACCGUAAGGAGGGCGCUUACCACGGUAGGAUUCGUGACUGGGGUGAAGUCGUAACAAGGUAAC
rnacentral:rRNA from 1 species